GCGCCUCUACAUCGACACCACCAGCAGCCUCCGUACGCGCUAGCUACCCCCACCACGUUGCCUCCGUACUUGCAAAUAAAGACAAGCAAAGGACAACUACAACAACAAUAGCAAAAAAACGAGCAGAGCAAUGAAAAAAGAAAAGGAAUUGUAUUUUUCUUUGUCGUUUUAUUUGGUUCGGCUAUGAAGCCAAGAACCUUUCCUUUUGUAAAAACUACGAACGGACACCAAUCAAUCGAGUAUAAAAAAAUAUUUUUGAAGGUGGUUCAUUUUUUCGCUGUUCUGAUUCUUAUUUUUUCUCUUUAUUUUCUCGCCUAGUUUUUAUCCUUUUUUACUAAGAUACACACACAAAAAGAGCGGAUCGCUUUUUUAUGCAUACAUGUAUAGAAAUUAAGAGAAAGGAAUCAAAAAAAAAAGAGUUUUUGGGCAGAAGGUGAUUAUCGUUCUUUUGUUCUUUUUUGUUAGAGCAAGAUUUGCAUCGUUCUUUGGUGAUUUUCUUUCUUUCAUUUCUCAUUUUAAUAUAGAAUAAAAAGGAUUGGGAUAAAGAAACACUCACCUGAAUCAAUCAGGUUGUCAGAGUUGCAUCUUCCUCUUCGAAAUCAAGCCCAACUCAUUGCUAGUCAUCUAUUACAAUGAUGGUGUGGCAAUUGGGGGUGAGUUCUGGUCGGCCAAAUGAGGGAUUAAAAAGAGGCUAGGGUUUCAAUUUCAAAAGGACCGAUUGUUUCAUUUUUUUGGGAGGAAUUGUUUGCUUUUAUAAAAGUUUUGAAACGGUACCGUGUAAGAAGGGUGGGGGGAGCCUUUUGCGCCUAAAAAUGUCUAUUUAUGCAACAAGUCCUUCCCCUUGUGCAUAGCCUUCAAUUUGCGUCCAAUUUGCCUACCUUGUGUUUUAAAAUUUGGCCUGCUAAUUUGUGCAUUAUUUCACUUUGAUCCGCGGUUCCAUGCAGCAUUGUAGGCACGAGAUAUUUACAAAUUCAGUCUUUAUACAUUUAUGCGCUUUGAGCAUUGGUCCAUAUUAUGAUUACUUUAUUUGUAAAUUAUCCUCCCUAUUUUAUUGCAGUAUUAAUUUGGUCUUACAGUUGUACAAUUGAUUAAUUUUUAAUACAUUUAAUAUGUGUAUGCCUUAAUCCAUGUUAAUAAUUUUGGUUGUUACAUUUGUACAAUUAUUUUUAGAUUGUUUUUUUUUUCACAUUAUGUAUCCUAUUUCUUUAAAUAUUUUAUAUGUAUUUGUAUGUUAAUCAUUAGUUUAAGUUUUUUAUAAUAACUAUUAUUUUGCAUGUUGUAAUAUUUUUUUAUGUAUUAUAUUGUUUUAAUACACUAUUAAUAAGUGUUGUUAAUAUAUUUAUAUACAUAAAUUAUUUAAAAUAUUUCUUAAUUUAUGUUUAAUCUGCAAGUCUUUAUGUACAUAUGAGACUGUUUUGGAAAAUCUAUCUUUGUAUUCAUAAAAUUGUUAUUUUGAAAACGUGUCUCCAUAUUAUGUUAUCCAAGUAUGUUAUUUAAUUUCUCUUUUAAAUAGUUUUAAGUAAAAUGGUAUGUAUGAUAAUAUAAUUUCACAUAUAUUUAUUUCUAAACAAAAGUUUUAAAUAAAAAAUCUAUCAUAUGAGUAAUACCUUGCCAUGAAUUAUAAUUUAUUCAUAUAUAGUAUAUUAUUUAAAUUAUUAUUAAACAUAUGUUUUGUACUUAUAUUUAAUUUGCAUCUAUUAUUAAAGCUUUGAUAUUCUUAUACAUAUAGAUUUUAAUAAACUUGUAAUUAAUUGCAUUUUUUAUUAAUUAUGUAAAUAAUUUAUGAUAAAACUAGGUUAAUUCUAUAAUUCAUAUUUUAAUUAAAUGAUAUUUGGACAUAUAAUUAUUUUUAACAUUUUUUCACAUGUAUAUGGCACAUAUUAAAUUAUUUUUACUAUGGUACAUGUUAUUAUUUUCAUAUAACUUUAUGUAAAUAUUUUUCUAUGUAUAUAUAUCCUGUUUAAAAAUUAUUUAUGCGGAUAAUGUUUUUAAGAACCCUUUUAAAUCAUAUAAUUUAUUGUAUUUCAUAUUAUCCUUAUGUUCUUUAUAUAUAUAUAUUUUGCUAUUUAUAUAACUUAUAUGUUUACUUCUUUUUUUUAUACAAUAUUAAUUUCAUUCUUUUUAUCAAUAAUUAUACCCAAUGUUUAUCUAUAUAUAAAGAUUUCAUAAAUUUACUUUAUAUAUUAUCUUAUAUCAUAUAUCAUGUGUCCACCCAUCUAUUUUGAAAAUGUCUUAUACUAUAUCGACCUCUAAACUCCAUUUUGUUUUCGUAUAUGAUAUGUUGGUUGACUUAUAUUGUGCCAUGUUUAUUAUUGGCGUAUAUCAUCAUCUAUUGUUUUAUUUCUUAUAUAAAUCAUUUGUCAACCACGUUUACGAGUUUGAUUAUAUUUUCUUGAUAAAUUAUGCUUAGUUAUAAGUUUGUUAAUUGGUAUUGCAUUUUAUGUAUGCAUAUUACCCCAAGUUUUAUUUUCCCUUUAGCCUACAAAUGUCGCAUUACAAUUUUCAACUUCCUUUUUUGAAAAAUUCUAAUUAAUUAUUCCAUCAUAUUUCAAGUCAAACUAAUAUGUUUUAAGCUAGUUUUAUAAUCAAUCAUUUAAAAAUCCUUUAAAACGAAGACGAGAUUCGAUCUUUGACAAUUCACGGAAUAGUGCCCUAACGUGUUGGGUUGCAAUUUCGCGUUUGCUCAAAAUAAUAGAAUAUCCCUUCGAAAUUUCACUCAUGCCUAUUAAAAAUUCUUUAAAACGAAGGCGAUGUGCGAUAUUUGGCAAUUCGCGGAAUCGUGCCCUAACGUGUUGGGUUGCAAUUUCUCGUUUUCUUAAAAUAAUCAAAUAACCCUUCAAAAUUUCACGCAUACCUUCUAAAAAUGAUUUAAAACAAAGGAAAUAUUCGACAUUUGACAAUUCGAGAAUCAUGCCCUAUCGUGCUGGAUUCUGAUUUCUCAUUUGCUCAAAACAAUCGAACAUUCCUUUAUAUUCUCACUCAAGUUUAUAAAAAAUACUUAAAAAUGAAGACGAUGUUCAAUGUUUGGCGAUUUGAGAAUCGUGCCCUGUCGUGCUGGGUUGCACUUUUUCAUUAGAUCAAAACAAUUGAAGAUCCCUUCGAAAUUUCACUUACAUUUUCUAAAAUCUUCUAAAAUAAAGGCGAUAUUCAAUGUUUGGCGAUUUGGGAAUCGAGCCCUAUCGUGCUGGGUUGCACUUUUUCAUUUGUCCAAAAUAAUCGAAUAUCUCCUCAGAAUUUCACACGUACUUUAUAAGGUAAGGCAAUGGUCGAUGUUUGGAAAUUCGAGGAAUCGUAUCCUACUACGCUGGGUUUCAAUUUUCCGUUAGACCAAAUAGUUGAGCAUCCUUUUGUAAUUCUCGAAUUAUAAACUUUCGAACAUCGAAACAAGAAGAUUUUGACAACCAACUCAGGUUACUCAAACAUUAUAAAAAAGAACCACAUUUCAAAAACUUUUUAAUUUUAGACAUAAGGACAGUACUUAAUCGAUUCGGUACCAAUUUUGGGCGUAGCGAGGGUGUUAAUCCUUCCUCAUGCGUAACUGACUCCCGAACCCGUUUUCUCAAAAGUUCGUAGACCAAAAUCAUUGUUUUAAUAAACCAAAAAAUGUUUUAUUAAACUAACCUCAUUUUUAGGUGAUCCGAUCACACCAAAACAAAAGAUCGGUGGUGACUCCAUAUUUCUGUUUUUCAAAAGUCAAUUUCCCCCUUUUCUUAAAUUUAAAAUUUUUUAAAUCGUGGGAUGGUUUCGAUAGCUUGGCGACUCCGCUGGGGACUUGAGAGUCGAGCCAUAAAAAUUUAUUAUUUACUGUCCUUUUGUCAAAAACCGAAAAUGUAUUUUAAAAAUCAUGUAUCUUUCGAUUGCAUUCGAUUGUAUGAUUGUUUUGGUGCGGGUCUUGUAGAAUAGUACUGCAUUUCAUUGCAUGACCACUAUGGUCACACCUUCUAAGUGAGAGUAAGAAACUACGCUUUCGUGAGGUUUUCACCUCCGCAUGGGCUAGUGGAUUGCUUCCGGGGUACAUCUGUACCUAUGAUUUCGUGAGAUUUUCAUCUCCGCAUGGUCAUAGGGAAAUGUAUCCCCCCGAACCGAACUCGAUCUAUAUAUGCCUAUAAUGGGUGAGGAUUGAGAAAUCUGCUGGUUCGGGUACCUUAUCCCUAGAACCGAGCCACAUAUAGAGAGACCUAGGAACUUACCCCGGGUAGAGCCACUUCGAAUCCCUAGUGAUCACCCGAUUAGGUACUUUGUCAUUUGUUUAUUUCUAUACUAAUGUGUUUUGUUUUUGUUUGUUCAUGACUGCAUUGCAUUACAUCAUCAUAAAAAGGAGGUGUUGAUUCGUAAUCAAUUGCUAAAUAGAACAAUUUGUCAUAAGAAAACGAAUUUCCUAAUAACGCGAGUUACAAUACGGUUGUCCGAAUUUGGUCCAAGUGAACACGACAGAAGAAGGCUAACAGUUCAUGGAGGAAAACAAGACUUUACCUAAGGAUUCAAGCCGAUAAAGAUUAUCCAAAAGCCAUCGCGUCCUGACUUUCUUAAAGAAGCUAAUCAACAUCACGAGGAUAGUAAUUCGUGGCCUGAUCAAGCAAAAAAGAUCCAGUAGAGGCAUGCAUUGGAAGCUUGCGAGAUUUGACUUUCACGGGGAUCAGUUCCCUCGCCAGGAAUACGAAAGCAAGGCUGUAUACAUAAUCCGUUUUAUGAAAAAGAAUUUGUUUUAUUGAAAAGUUGUUCUAGGGGAAUUGAAUUCAAAAUCAACAUCUUUCUUUCCUUUGCAUUCAUCCCGUGCAUUUGCAUUGCAUUGCAUCAUUUACAUUGCAUUGCAUUAUUUGCAUUACAUUGCAUCAUUUGCAUUAGAUUUCCCUAAAACGACCUUAAUUAGGUAAAAUUAUUUUAGAACCGACAAAAGAUAUGGACCAAAGAUUGGAGAGAAUGGAGCAAAAGAAAAUACAGAUGCAAGAGCAAUUGAUCAAAAUUCAACAAGAUAUGUGAGAAAUGCUAGAACUCCAAAGAAAUAUGAUGGGCCAGUUAACCCAUUUACUGGCCAGAGAAUUUGAAAAAAGGAGUGGCCCAGUGGUCAAUAAUGAGGAUGAUGUUGAAGGGAUCAUCUAUUCCCCAGGCUUUGCCCCAAUAAGCGUUCCGACCCAACCAGACAUGCAAGGGGUACCCAUUAUUAUCGGACACCAAUAUCAGACGGAUACAUCAGUACUGUUUAGCUUCUCGAGGGGUUCAGGUUUUAACCCGAAAGAUGAUCAAGCCAAGCCAGUUGUUCUGGCAAAAACGAAGGCAAGGGGAGAGUAGACUUUAAAGGCCCAGAAGGUAAAUAGUACGAGUAGGUAUAACAAGGGUCGUUCGGAGCUGAUUAUAGUAGGCCGACCAAGGUCAGUAACUACCAGCCAUCAGGCCUCCUCAAGGCAAGAACCCAAUCGAAGAUCGAGCUCAGAAAAACCCUAAUACAUGCCCAUUCCAAUCACGUACGGAGAGUUGUACCGCGUUUUGUUUGACGCACAUGUCGUAUCCCCUUUUUACAUGAAACCUAUAUUGCCCCCAUAUCCUAAAUGGUACGAUGCAAGCAGCCAAUGUGAAUACCACGCGAGAAUCACAGGGCAUUCCAUCGAGAACUGUACCGCUUUUAAAAAGAUUGUCGAAAAGCUCACCAAUUUGGGUAUCAUAAAAUUCAAUGAUCCCUCUGGAGCGGGAAAUCGGUUAUCCAACCUUUCUGUUAAAGAGGCGAACAUUAUGAGUUCCAUGCUGGAUUGGGGCAUGAGAUUUAAGGGUGCAUCGAGCUCGAAACUCUAAUGCAAGGCCUGGUAUUAGGGAACCCAAACAUCAACGACGUAUCAGAAGAGGGAACUCGGGAGUAGACUUUUUCAAGCUUCUAACCUUACGUACUUAGGGUGUUUUAAAAAAUGGGACUGUGAAAGAGAUCCUUGUAUUUUUAAGAGCUAAUCUAGAGUAAUAUUCAAAACAUACUUGUUGUUUUAAGCCUAGAAGCAACAAGAAUCCUUUUGUGAAAUAGGCUUAUAUCCAAAAUCUUUAUUUCAAUGAAAUGCAUGUUUGAGUAAAUUUUCUUUUAUUCUUUCCAUUUUAUACUGUACAAACGAUUAUUCUUAGAUUAUUUCAUUUAUGAUCAUACCAUACAAAUAAUCAUCCUUAGAAUCAUUUAUUGGAAUAUGCCUUCGUACCUAUAACAGGUCUCCAGACAUCAAUGACGUGAGCGACGCUGUCACUAAUUCCGAGUCUCUCUUUAAGAAAGAUAUGUGUCUAGAGGGAUCUCAGGACCUUGAAGGUGACAGAGAUUGUGACUUAUUUCUCGAUUUGUUAAGGACGGUAGAACAAGAUGAAAAAACUGAUCCUACUUUACGAAGGGUCAAUGGACAUUGUGAACAAGGGGCAAAGGUUGAAACCUGAGUCACCACAGGGACAAAAUGAAUUGUCUUUAAGUUACUUCAAGAAAUUAAAAGAUAUUUUCACAUAAUCAUGACGAGAUAUAUUUGAUAUUAAGAUCUGUGGAUGAUACAAAAUGUCUAUACAGUGCCAGAAGGACACGUGUCAAAGGUUUCAUGGUACCCACGCUAAUCAUGAGGUUUAGGUAUUGUUGAUCCACCAUGGAAGGGGAUUACAUUGGUUAAAGCCACAUUCAUUUCCUCACAGAUUUUCUCUAUAUGAGGCAAGGAUGUUAUCAGGCCAUUCUCAUCAAUUCAUCUUGGCAGUCAUUGAUUACUUCACGAAGGGGGUGAGGGUCGCUUCAUAUGUCAAUAAUUACAAGAUCAAUAGUCGUCAAAAUUCAAAAAAAAUGUGGGGUUGUUGACAAGUAAUGUCAGAAAGGAUCACUUUCAAAUACAACUGCACAAUCUCAAAAGUUUGCAGUUUGCUCAAAGAUCAGACACUAUAUCACAGUGCAGUAAAAGUAGCCAAAAAGAAAGAUAAAAGUUCAAAAAAAAGGGAAAAACAAACAAUAGAAUAAAUUCAUAGUGAAAAAUGACUAAGUCUUGUAAAUACUGGCAUAAAGAAGUUAUCAUUUACCCUCUAUAUUCGUCGAACGUCUGCCAGAACCUUCGUCGGGGCAACACAUUGUUCGAAACGAUUUUGAAAGCAAGAUUUCUUUUGGUCAAGUCUUAGCUGAAGUUGGAUUAGGCAGAAUAGAUCUAACCCCGAUAUGAUCAGUUGAAUUUGAAGAAAGGAGGUUGAAAGCCAUAUGACAUGGCCCAAUGUACCAGAAAUGAAUGAUGCAAGCUUACAUCGAAAAGGUUCUUCCUAGAGGAUUCCAUGAGGGGGACCUGGCACUGAAAAGUUCAUUUUUACACAAAAGGACUUCCAAGGAAAGUGAAAGGCCACGGCAAAAACCGUCAAAUGAUGCUUUGAGAUCUUCAAAAAAAAUAAGAGAAAAGAAGAAGAAAAGAAAAGAAAGAAAUAAAGAAGAAAAAGAAGAAAAGAAAAGAAAAGGAGAGGCCAAGGCGAAAACCCGCAAAGGGCGCUUGGAGACCGAGGGUAUUUUGAGUUGAAAAACUGAAAAGGGCAGCUCAAAUUUGAAUCAAAGUAGGGCAUACAGUAGUCUUGCUAUGCCUGAAUUAACAAUGAAGAAGUAUGCUACGUCUCGGGGCAUCGACAAAGUACCCCGGAUCCCCUAAACACAUAUUAAGCUCAGAAAGGUCCUCAAGAAGUUGGUACAGAGAAGCUCAAGUUGCGAUAUCUGGGGCACCUAGUUUCCAUUUUGCUCAUUUUGAAUUUGUUAUCUUUGAUUACCUUAUUCUUUUCAGGAUACGUCCCAAUAAACUUCCUUCUUAUUGCAUCGUUAUCAUUAAUUAACUUAUUCAUGUUGAGUUAAUUGCCUUUUAUUGUAUUUGCAAUUUUUGAUUAAUCUAUUUAUUUUGAGCUACCCUACUAAUCAAUUCCCUUCUUGACCAUUGUUUUGAUCCUUUUCAAGCAUUUUGCAUUGAAAUAACGAUUAAUGGACUAAUAAUACCUUCGCAAAAGGGUUCUGCAUAUUACUCUAGAAGCUUCUAAACAACAUAGGAACCUGAAACACGGCCAUCAUUUAGAAUUCACCAAGCCUAAAGGUUGAAAAUGUUUCUAAAUUGCGACUAUCUCUUUGAAUUUUCUGUCAAAGAUAUCAGUUGAAUGAAAAGGCAAGAUAUUUCGUCGGUGAUACAACCUCGACAAAUGACGAGCAAUGUCAACUAAGGGGGUUCAUUCUCGAGAAAAGAAAAAUGAUAUUCUGCAUUCAUCGAGCAUAUACAAUGGGUCAUUACACCCAAGGAAUGGUGUAAUAGAUCAAAUUGAUUAAAGAUGAAACAAAUCCUAUACUCUGAGUUGCAGUAGGUUGGAUAAGCAAAAACUCCAUAAAGUUUGAGUGGGGCAACAUUGUCAAGCAGAUGAGAUUGUUUCUUCGAGUUUUCUAUUAAGAAUGCCAGCUAAACAAGACAACAGAAUAAUACGUCAACAAUAAAACCUCAGUGAACGAUGAGUAAUAUCAAAUCAAGCAUUAAAAAUGCAAUUUUGCAUCCAUACAAACGUCAUUCAUAGGAGCAUUUGGUUCAAUCAAGUCAUGACAUCCUAAUCAUUAGGCAUGAACUCAUACACAUUAUACAGGUUGAGUCCUUCAAGGGACAAUGAGGAUUGAUGUUCCUUAAUCCCCUAAAUAAUAGGGUAACAAGCUAAAGCAUGGCAGUCUGACAUUCCUUGAAGCAGAUAACAGAUUUGGCGCCUCUAUAGCAGCGGAGAGCAGAUCGAAGAUAACAGAUUUGGCGUAUCUGUAGCGGCGGAGAGCAGAUCGAAGAUAACAAAUUUGGCAUCUCUGUAUUGUCAGAGGGCAGAUCGAAGAUAACAUAUUUGGCAUCUCUAUAGCGGCAGAGAGCAGAUCGAAGAUAACAGAUUUGGCGUCUCUAUAGCAGCGAAAAGUAGAUCGAAGAUAACAGAUUUGGCGUCUCUGUAGCGGCAGAGAAAAGAUCGAAUAUAACAGAUUUGGCGUCUCUGUAGCGGCGGAGAGCAGAUCGAACAUAACAGAUUUGGCAUCUCUGUAGUGGUAGAGAGCAGAUCGAAGAUAGCAGUUUUGGCAUCUCUGUAUCAGGCGGGGAGCAGAUCGAAGACAUAGCUGAUUUGGCUUUCACGUGUUUACGUUGAAGUAGAUCCAAGAUGAUUUUACAUCUCUGUAUCAGGCGGGGAGCAAAUCGAAGACAUAGCUGAUUUGGCUUUCACGUGUUUACGUUGAAGCAGAUCCAUGAUGAUUUGGCAUCUUUGUAUCAGGCAGGGAGCAGAUCAAAGACAUAGUUGAUUUGGCUUUCACGUGUUUACAUUGAGCAGAUUUGACAUCUCUGUAUUGUUAGAGGGCAGAUCGAAGAUAGCAGAUUUGGCAUCUUUGUGUUGACAGAGAGCAGAUCGAAUUUGGCGAAUCUAAGCUUCCUGAUAUUGCAGCGAAGCAGAUUUAAGCCAUCAUCCUAGCUCCCUAAUAUUGUAGUAGAGUAGGCUAAAAAUUACAGAUUUUAUCUCUCUGAAGCUGCAAUAGAACAGAUCAAGCUAAUCGCAGAAGAAUAUAUUAAAGCCAUAAACCUCAAGUUGCAGUGGAAUAGGUCAGAGCUACGAGUAGUUGCAGUGGAGCACAUUGAAGAUACUUGAAGGAAAGAAGCGCCAAGAAGAGUCGAAACUCAGCUGGCCCAUGAAAAAUUGGCCUUUUUAUAGUCUUUACUCUAUUCUCGUCACACGAUAAUGAGCAAAGAAGGGCAGCUGUAAUGCCCAAUUUUGGCCCGGGCCCAUGCAAACACAAAUCAAACAAAACCACAAAAAAAUGAAAAAUACAAUAAUAUAAAAAUCCAAAUGUCAAUAGUAGCCCAGUUUAUCGUCCAAUUACAAAAAUUAUGGCCCAACUACUAGAAUAGGCCAAAAAAGCCCAAAUUAUCAAUGUUCUAGAACCCUAGCAGCAAGGAACACAGUAGCCUCCAGCACUACCCUGAAUGGCGCCUCCACGUCGACACCACCAGCAGCCUCAGUACGCGCCAGCUACCCCCACCACGUUGCCUCCGUACCUGCAAAUAAAGACAAGAAAGGACGACCACAUCAGCAAUAGCAAAAAAACAAGCAGAGUAAUGAAAAAAGAAAAGGAAUUGUAUUUUUCUUUGUCGUUUUAUUUGGUUUGGCUAUAAAGCCAAGAACCUUUCCUUUUGUAAAAACUACGAACGGACACCAAGCAAUCGAGUAUAAAAAAAUAUUUUUGAAGGUGGUUCAUUUUUUCGCUGUUCUGAUUCUUAUUUUUUCUCUUUAUUUUCUCGCCUAGUUUUUAUCCUUUUUUACUAAGAUACACACACAAAAAGAGGGAAUCCCUUUUUUACGCAUACAUGUAUAGAAAUUAAGAGAAAGGAAUCAAAAAAAAAGAGUUUUUCGGUAGAAGGUGAUUAUCCUUCUUUUGUUCUUUUUGUUGGAGCAGGAUUUGCAUCGUUCUUUGGUGAUUUUCUUUCUUUCAUUUCUCAUUUUAAUAUAGAAUAAAAAGUAUUGGGAUAAAGAAACACUCACCUGAAUCAAUCGGGUUGUCAGAGUUGCAUCUUCCUCUUCGAAAUUAAGCCCAACUCAUUGCUAGUCAUCUAUUACAAUGAUAGUGUGGCGAUUGGGGGAGAGUUUUGGUCGGCCAAAUGAGAGAUUAAAAAGAGGCUAGGGUUUCAAUUUCAAAAGGACCGAUUGUUU
rnacentral:lncRNA from 1 species